UCCUUAUACAUUCUGGCAGGAAGUGUAUCUAUCCCAGAAUUCCUAGUAAAUACAUCCUAGUCUUUUAUUGGCCUUGACAAGGUUACAUGUCAGUUCCUCAACAAAUCAUGGUUGCCUGGGUAAAAGGAUGUAAGAAUUAUUUUAAACCAAUCUAGGCCUACCCUUACAGCUCAGAGUGAAUCCCACCCAAACCAGUGACAAACAACAGGUGAGCUGGCCUCUCAAAGGAUUUUGUAUUUUUAGUAGAGAUGGGGUUUUGCCAUGUUGGCCAGGCUGGUCUCGAACUUCUGACCUCAGGUGAUCCACUAACCUAGGCCUCCCGAAAUGCUGGGAUUACAGGCAUGAGACAACACACCCAGCCCCCAGCCCUACUUUUAUCAGAGUGUAAACUACAGCAAAUAUGAAUGGCUAAAGAGCUGGCGAUGUUUAACUGGAGGUGAGGAGGCUUUACUGGAGGGGGUGGGUGAAGGACACCAUUGAUAGAGAUCUCUCCAAAUAUUUGGAGAGCCGGCAAAUGAAAGAAGGCUGUGACUUGAGAGUAGAAGUUGGGCAGAAAGAGUAGUUGGGGAAGAAAGAGAGAGAUAGAUAGUCAAGCCAGUGGAGGGAAAAAUUUCAAGCACAUUCUCCAAAACUAUUGCUUUUGCAAUAAAAAAAAAAUCAACUUUAUUGAGGUAUAGUUUACACACAAUAAAAAUGCACCUUUUUUUUUUGAAACGGAGUUUCGCUCUUGUCACCCAGGCUGGAGUGCAAUGGCGUGAUCUUUGCUCACUGUAACCUCUGCCUUAUGGGUUCAAGUGAUUCUCCUGCCUCAGCCUCCCGAGUAGCUGGGACUACAGGCGCAUGCCACCACGCCCGGCUAAUUUUUUGUAUUUUUAGUAGAGACGGGGUUUCACUGUGUUAACCAGGAUGGUCUCGAUUUCUGGACCUCAUGAUCCGCCCUCCUUGGCCUCCCAGUGCUGGGAUUACAGGCGUGAGCCACUGCGCCCGGCGUUUUUAAUUUCUUUUUUAUUUUUAUACAGAGUCUCACUCUGUCACCGGGCUGGGGUGCAGUGGCACCGAUCUUGGCUCACGGCAACCUCCGCCUCCUGGGUUCAAGCGAUUCUCCUGCCUCAGCCUCCGGAGUAGCUGGGAUUACAGGCGCCCGCCACUAUGCCCAGCUAAUUUUUUUUGUAUUUUUAGUAGAGACGAGGUUUCACCAUGUUGGCCAGGCUGGUCUUGAACUCCUGACCUCGUGAUUCUCCUGCCUUGGCCUCCCAAAGUGUUGGGAUUACAGGCAUGAGCCACUGUGCCCUGCCAAAUCUAUUUUCUUAAAGCAUUUGCAUCAAUUUGAUCUCUUCUGUGUCGUG
rnacentral:lncRNA from 1 species